rnacentral:lncRNA from 1 species
AUGUUGUGGUUUAAGUGUGACUUUGGAUUGUGGAGAAAACAUAGACACAAAACCCUGAAUGAGGGAGGGGUGAUGUUGGAACACGAGCUUAGGAGAAGAAAGAUGAACUUUGAGAGAGAUAAGGAAGAAGAAGGAGGAGGAGGAGAGAAGGGGAAGGAGAAAGGGAAGGGGAAGGGAAGGAGAAAGAAAAGAAGAAGGAGAAAGAGAAGAAUGAGGAGGAGAAGGAGAAGGAGAAGGAGAAGGAGGAGAAGAAGAAGGAGAAGGAGAAGAAGAAGAAGAAGAAGAAGAAGAAGAAGAAGAAGAAGAAGAAGAAGAAGAAAAUGAUGAUGAUGAUGAUGAUGAUGAUUUCCCCUGUUCAAAAUUGUCACACCAACUCCUCCCUUCCCAUAAGUCAUGCCUCCUUGCAGCAGUAUUCUCUCUACCAGUUAGGAGAAUCCCAUGGAAAAUACCCAGGCUUGGCUAGAUACCCAGAUUACAUGUGUAAUGCAUUCCUGAUCCACCCAAAAUGAAAAGAGUGAAGGAGGCAUUCUUAUUUCAUGAUCAUAUCCUCAAAAUGCAGAACAUACCCUCCAAGGAAUGCCUACUGCAGCCACAAGGGAAUCUAGAGGGUAAGAAUCUAGGAAUGGAAUUUGCCCAAAAGCCCAUAUAUAUUACCCUUGUAAAUGCCUGGAUAGGAGUUAGAUUUAAAUGUCCCUCAUUGUUUGAAACCUGGUUCCAAGGGGGGGAGGGGUAUGGGGGAGAGGUUCCCAUAACAAGUAGCAGAUAGAGAAUGUUAGGGAAUAUCUAUAGGUGUUGUUGUGCUGGAGACAAGUCCAAAAAUUGACCUUUGAACAGGGGGUGGAAUUUAACCAUCUUUGUACUCUUUGAUUCAUUGGCCAUAUACUUUUUGGCGUGAGGUCAUGGCCUUUGAGAGGGUAUCCUUGCCCCUGGUUUGAAAAAAAUUUCUUAUAGACAGUGAAAAGUCAUUGAAAGUUUUUAAGCAGAGAAAUGAUUUGAUCAAAUCUGAGAAUUACCCUUCCUCCUGAUACUGAAGCUUUGUUAAAAUUCUAAAUGUACUUUUUUGAUUAAAGAAUCAUUAACCCCCAAAAAUUAAAAAAAAAAAAAAAGACCAGGAUAGAAGGAGGAGGACAGAGAGAUCGAACAAGGAAACUAGAACAAAAAUACAAAGACAGUGAAAAAGAGGUGAUAGGGAUAAUGAGAGCAGGAGACCUACAGAGCAAGGGAGAUAGAAAGGAGAGGAGUAGAUAAAGAAGAUAGUGGAUAUACUUCAGUGAAGAAAAGGAAGUAUGGUGAGGUUCUACCUAUGAAAGAUGACUAAUCCUACUGGAAUUUAUAAGAGACAAAAGGGAUUAAUUCAGUGAAAUCUCCCAAAGAUACUGCAUGUUAACAUUUCCCAUUCAAAAUAGGGCAAGCCUUUCCUUUCAGGGGUUGAGAUUGCCAGGGCUUUAGUAAGGAGACUUUAUAACAAUGCUGAGAAUCCCAAAUGAAUAAAGAGCCAGUGGCAGCUGUCUUCA